CUUGUAAAUCAGACAGUCGCAUGAAAAUGAGGAAAGUCCGUGCUCCACAGAGCGAGGGUGCUGGAUAACGUCCAGUGGGGGCGACCCUAAGGAUAGUGCAACAGAAAUAAACCGCCAAUUAAAAUUGGUAAGGAUGGAAAGGCGAGGUAAGAGCUCACCGGCGUUUAGGCGACUAAACGGCCCUGUAAACCCCACCCGGAGCAAGACCAAAGCGAGUCAAAAGGCCUUUGCUCGAGGCUUCUCGAAAGGUAGGUUGCUGGAAGAUAUAGGUAACUAUAUCUCAAGAUAGAUGACUGUCAAAUACAGAACACGGCUUAUAGAUUUACUAAAAAA
rnacentral:RNase_P_RNA from 1 species